rnacentral:rRNA from 2 species
GGGUUGUGAGGUUAAGCGACUAAGCGUACACGGUGGAUGCCCUGGCAGUCAGAGGCGAUGAAGGGCGUGCUAAUCUGCGAUAAGCGCCGGUAAGGUGAUAUGAACCGUUAUAACCGGCGAUACCCGAAUGGGGAAACCCAGUGUGACUCGUCACACUAUCAUUAACUGAAUCCAUAGGUUAAUGAGGCGAACCGGGGGAACUGAAACAUCUAAGUACCCCGAGGAAAAGAAAUCAACCGAGAUUCCCCCAGUAGCGGCGAGCGAACGGGGAGGAGCCCAGAGCCUGAAUCAGCAUGUGUGUUAGUGGAAGCGUCUGGAAAGGCGCGCGAUACAGGGUGACAGCCCCGUACACAAAAGCGCAUGUGCUGUGAGCUCGAUGAGUAGGGCGGGACACGUGGUAUCCUGUCUGAAUAUGGGGGGACCAUCCUCCAAGGCUAAAUACUCCUGACUGACCGAUAGUGAACCAGUACCGUGAGGGAAAGGCGAAAAGAACCCCGGCGAGGGGAGUGAAAAAGAACCUGAAACCGUGUACGUACAAGCAGUGGGAGCCCCACCACUAAGCCAGUGGUGAACUCCACAUACGCAUCCUUUGCUGAGGAUACGGUUAACGGAGCGAAAGCGACGUUCAACCGCAAAAGAAGCAGAGGGGGCUUAGUGGUGGGGUGACUGCGUACCUUUUGUAUAAUGGGUCAGCGACUUAUAUUCUGUAGCAAGGUUAACCGAAUAGGGGAGCCGGAGGGAAACCGAGUCUUAAUUGGGCGUUAAGUUGCAGGGUAUAGACCCGAAACCCGGUGAUCUAGCCAUGGGCAGGUUGAAGGUUGGGUAACACUAACUGGAGGACCGAACCGACUAAUGUUGAAAAAUUAGCGGAUGACCUGUGGCUGGGGGUGAAAGGCCAAUCAAACCGGGAGAUAGCUGGUUCUCCCCGAAAGCUAUUUAGGUAGCGCCUCGUGAA